GCAGCGUUCGUCUAGCGGUUAGGACACCGCCCUUUCACGGCGGCGGCACGGGUUCGAUUCCCGUACGCUGUA
rnacentral:tRNA from 3 species